UACGGAGGAUCCGAGCGUUAUCCGGAUUUAUUGGGUUUAAAGGGUGCUCAGGCGGGGGAUUAAGUCGGCGGUGAAAUUUUGCAGCUCAACUGUAAAAGUGCCUUCGAAACUGGUUUCCUUGAGUGUGGAUGAGGUAGGCGGAAUUUGUGGUGUAGCGGUGAAAUGCAUAGAUAUCACGAGGAACUCCGAUUGCGCAGGCAGCUUACUAAACCAUAACUGACGCUCAAGCACGAAGGCGUGGGGAUCAAACAGG
rnacentral:rRNA from 1 species